rnacentral:rRNA from 1 species
GAUGAACGCUGGCGGCGUGCCUAAUACAUGCAAGUCGAGCGAACGGACGAGAAGCUUGCUUCUCUGAUGUUAGCGGCGGACGGGUGAGUAACACGUGGAUAACCUACCUAUAAGACUGGGAUAACUUCGGGAAACCGGAGCUAAUACCGGAUGAUAUUUUGAACCGCGUGGUUCAAAAGUGAAAGACGGUCUUGCUGUCACUUAUAGAUGGAUCCGCGCUGCAUUAGCUAGUUGGUAAGGUAACAGCUUACCAAGGCAACGAUGCAUAGCCGACCUGAGAGGGUGAUCGGCCACACUGGAACUGAGACACGGUCCAGACUCCUACGGGGGGCAGCAGUAGGGAAUCUUCCGCAAUGGGCGAAAGCCUGACGGAGCAACGCCGCGUGAGUGAUGAAGGUCUUCGGAUCGUAAAACUCUGUUAUUAGGGAAGAACAUAUGUGUAAGUAACUGUGCACAUCUUGACGGUACCUAAUCAGAAAGCCACGGCUAACUACGUG